rnacentral:rRNA from 1 species
UACGGGGGGGGCAAGCGUUGUUCGGAAUUACUGGGCGUAAAGGGCUCGUAGGCGGCCAACUAAGUCAGACGUGAAAUCCCCAGGCUCAACCUGGGAACUGCGUCUGAUACUGGAUGGCUUGAAUCCGGGAGAGGGAUGCAGAAUUCCAGGUGUAGCGGUGAAAUGCGUAGAUAUCUGGAGGAAUACCGGUGGCGAAGGCGGCAUCCUGGACCGGCAUUGACGCUGAGGAGCGAAAGCUAGGGGAGCGAACGGG